UACGUAGGGCGCAAGCGUUAUCCGGAAUUAUUGGGCGUAAAGGGCUCGUAGGCGGUUUGUCGCGUCGGGAGUGAAAUCCACUGGCUUAACUGGUGGCUUGCUUUCGAUACGGGCAGACUGGAGGUAUGCAGGGGAGACUGGAAUUCCUGGUGUAGCGGUGAAAUGCGCAGAUAUCAGGAGGAACACCGGUGGCGAAGGCGGGUCUCUGGGCCGAAAUUGACGCUGAGACGCGAAAGCGUGGGGAGCAAACAGG
rnacentral:rRNA from 1 species